AUUGAACGCUGGCGGCAGGCCUAACACAUGCAAGUCGAGCGGAUGAAGGGAGCUUGCUCCUGGAUUCAGCGGCGGACGGGUGAGUAAUGCCUAGGAAUCUGCCUGGUAGUGGGGGAUAACGUCCGGAAACGGGCGCUAAUACCGCAUACGUCCUGAGGGAGAAAGUGGGGGAUCUUCGGACCUCACGCUCUCAGAUGAGCCUAGGUCGGAUUAGCUAGUUGGUGGGGUAAAGGCCUACCAAGGCGACGAUCCGUAACUGGUCUGAGAGGAUGAUCAGUCACACGGGAACUGAGCCACGGUCCAGACGCCUACGGGAGGCAGCAGUGUGCAAUAUUGGACAAUGGGCGAAAGCCUGAUCCAGCCAUGCCGCGUGUGUUAAGAAGGUCUUCGGAUUGUAAAGCACUUUAAGUUGUGAGGAAGGGCAGUAAGUUAAUACCUUGCUGUUUUGACGUUACCAACAGAAUAAGCACCGGCUAACUUCGUG
rnacentral:rRNA from 1 species